UCCCUGGUGGUCUAGCAGCUAAGGAUCCUGCGCUCUCACUGCCACGGCCCGAGUUCGAUUCCCGGGUAGGGAA